UACGAGUGGUGCAAGCGUUAUUCGGAAUGAUUGGGCGUAAAGGGUGCGCAGACGGCGCGCUAAGUCAACUGUUAAAUUUCCCGGCCUAACUGGGAGCAAGCGGUAGAUACUGGCGUGCUUGAGGGCGGAAGAGAGGAGUGGAAUUCUCGGAGUAGCGGUAAAAUGCGUAGAUCUCGAGAGGAACACCAAUGGCGAAGGCAGCUCCUUGGUCCGUCCCUGACGUUCAUGCACGAAAGCGUGGGGAGCAAAC
rnacentral:rRNA from 1 species